rnacentral:rRNA from 1 species
CGCCGGACCUCAGAUCAGGCAAGGCUACCCGCUGAAC